AUGCCAAUGGGUCCUAAUGGGACUCUAUGGGGUCUCAAUGGAUGUCAGUGGGUCCCUAUGGGCCCUAUGGGUACCAAUGGAUACCAGUGGGUCCCUGUGGGUCUUUAUGGGGUCCCAAUGGGUCCCUAUGCAGGGCCAGUGGAUGCCAGUGGGUCAUUAUGGGUCUCUAUGGGGUCUUUAUGGGUCCUUAUGGGUCCCUAUGGGUCCCUAUGGGUCUCUAUGGGAUCCCAAUGCUUUUCAGUGGGUCCUAAUGGGUCCCUAUGGGUCCCUAUGGGGUCCCAAUGGAUGCUAAUGGGUCCCAAUGGUUCUCUAUGGGUUCCCAAUGGAUGCCAAUGGGUCUCUACGGGGUCCCAAUGCUUUUCUAUGGGUCUCUAUGGGUCCCUAUGGGUCCCAAUGGUGUCCCAAUGGAUGCCAAUGGGGUCCCAAUGCUUUUCAGUGGGUCCUAAUGGGUCCCUAUGGGUCCCUAUGGGGUCCCAAUGGAUGUCAAUGGGUCUCUAUGGGUCUCUAUGGGGUCCCAAUGGAUGCCAAUGGAAUCCCAAUGGAUACCAAUGGGUCUCUAUGGGUCCCUAUGGGUCUCUAUGGGGUCCCAAUGGAUCCCAAUGGUUCUCUAUGGGUUUCUAUGUGUCAUUUUGGGUCAUUUUGGGUGUAUUUUGUGGUAUUUUGGUACCUGUUUGGCGUAGCUGUCGAUGACGAUGAGGCGGGCGUGCAUCUCCUCGCACUCCGCCUUCGCUUUGUGCCAGCUGAUUCUGUUCAGGGAGAAGUAAUAGCAGCUCCCUUCAAAGUAUU
rnacentral:lncRNA from 1 species